rnacentral:rRNA from 1 species
AACGAACGCUGGCGGCAUGCCUAACACAUGCAAGUCGAACGAGACCUUCGGGUCUAGUGGCGCACGGGUGCGUAACGCGUGGGAACCUGCCCUUAGGUUCGGAAUAACUCCCCGAAAGGGGUGCUAAUACCGGAUAAUGUCUUCGGACCAAAGAUUUAUCGCCUUUGGAUGGGCCCGCGUUGGAUUAGCUAGUUGGUAGGGUAAAAGCCUACCAAGGCGACGAUCCAUAGCUGGUCUGAGAGGAUGAUCAGCCACACUGGGACUGAGACACGGCCCAGACUCCUACGGGAGGCAGCAGUGGGGAAUAGUGGAAAAUGGGCGAAAGGAUGAUCCAGCAAUGACGCGUGAGUGAUGAAGGCCUUAGGGUUGUAAAGCUCUUUUAACCGGGAUGAUAAUGACAGUACCGGGAGAAUAAGCUCCGGCUAACUACGUG